rnacentral:rRNA from 1 species
ACGUAGGGAGCAAGCGUUGUCCGGAAUCAUUGGGCGUAAAGCGCGCGUAGGCGGCCCUGUAAGUCCGUUGUGAAAGUCAAAGGCUCAACCUUUGAAAGCCGAUGGAUACUGCAGGGCUAGAGUCCGGAAGAGGCGAGUGGAAUUCCUGGUGUAGCGGUGGAAUGCGCAGAUAUCAGGAGGAACACCAAUAGCGAAGGCAGCUCGCUGGGACGGUACUGACGCUAAGGCGCGAAAGCGUGGGGAGCGAACAGG